GAUGAACGCUGGCGGCGUGCCUAAUACAUGCAAGUCGAGCGAACAGAUGAGGAGCUUGCUCCUCUGACGUUAGCGGCGGACGGGUGAGUAACACGUGGAUAACCUACCUAUAAGACUGGGAUAACUUCGGGAAACCGGGGCUAAUACCGGAUAAUAUAUUGAACCGCAUGGUUCAAUAGUGAAAGACGGCUUUGCUGUCACUUAUAGAUGGAUCCGCGCCGCAUUAGCUAGUUGGUAAGGUAACGGCUUACCAAGGCAACGAUGCGUAGCCGACCUGAGAGGGUGAUCGGCCACACUGGAACUGAGACACGGUCCAGACUCCUACGGGAGGCAGCAGUAGGGAAUCUUCCGCAAUGGGCGAAAGCCUGACGGAGCAACGCCGCGUGAGUGAUGAAGGUCUUCGGAUCGUAAAACUCUGUUAUUAGGGAAGAACAAAUGUGUAAGUAACUAUGCACGUCUUGACGGUACCUAAUCAGAAAGCCACGGCUAACUACGUG
rnacentral:rRNA from 1 species